AAAUUUAUAGAUUUUCAAAUUUCAGCCGACACGUGUUUCAGUGUUUUCAACAAAAAUCUACCAUUUGGGAACUAUGAACGUUUUAAGUGCGAGCUAUGUCAGCCGUAACUCGGUAAAUAUAGCGGAAAGAAACUU